CGACGCUCCUGGACUGGACUUUAUCCUUUCUUGACUUCACACACAGGCGAACAAAAUGGCGCUCGGCUGCCCAGGCAGCAAAUCUGACGAACAGACUCGUUAAAGGGAAAGUUCACCAGAAAAUGUCCAGGAGAAGCCAAGUUAUUGGCUGGGGCUCCAACUCCACUCUGAGAGGAGGUGAGGAUGAAGGAACGUCCAUACGUGGCAAAGCCCAUCAACAACUUCUCAGGAGGAGCUCCCUGGAAUCUCCAGAAUUUUAGCGCAGAAUCCUGUAUGCAAGAUGAAAAUAUACAAACUACCCAGCAGCAAAUUCAAGUUAUUCACUGUCUUGAAGUCUGUGCUCAUAAUAAGAGUCAGUCUGCUUACAGUGUUUGAGUUGAUAUCCUCCUCGUCUUGGAUGCCACUGUACAAAGGGCUGUGAUGUCUUGCAAUGCCAUCUUUAAAUGUAUGAAAAUCAAAUGUCUUGACACUAAUAAAGUCCAAGUACCUAAAAAAAAAUGUUUUUA